rnacentral:rRNA from 1 species
AGAGUUUGAUCCUGGCUCAGGAUGAACGCUGGCGGCGUGCCUAACACAUGCAAGUCGAACGGAGUGGAGGAGCUUGCUCCAAAACUUAGUGGCGGACGGGUGAGUAACGCGUGGGUAACCUGCCCUUAAGUGGGGGAUAACAGUUGGAAACGACUGCUAAUACCGCAUAAAGUUAAGAGUUCACAUGGACUUUUAACCAAAGGAGAAAUCCGCUUUUGGAUGGACCCGCGUCUGAUUAGCUAGUUGGUGGGGUAACGGCUCACCAAGGCGACGAUCAGUAGCCGGCCUGAGAGGGUGAUCGGCCACACUGGGACUGAGACACGGCCCAGACUCCUACGGGAGGCAGCAGUGGGGAAUCUUCCGCAAUGGACGAAAGUCUGACGGAGCAACGCCGCGUGAGGGAUGAAGGCCUUCGGGUUGUAAACCUCUGUCUUCAGGGAAGAAAAAAAUGACGGUACCUGAGGAGGAAGCCCCGGCUAACUACGUGCCAGCAGCCGCGGUAAUACGUAGGGGGCGAGCGUUAUCCGGAAUUAUUGGGCGUAAAGGGCGCGUAGGCGGAUAUUUAAGUCAGGUGUGAAAACCCAGGGCUCAACCCUGGAUCUGCAUCUGAUACUGGGUAUCUUGAGGACAGGAGAGGAAAGUGGAAUUCCUGGUGUAGCGGUGAAAUGCGUAGAUAUCAGGAGGAACACCGGCGGUGUAGACGGCUCUCUGGACCGUAACUGACGCUGAGAUACGAAAGCGUGGGUAGCAAACAGGAUUAGAUACCCUGGUAGUCCACGCCCUAAACGAUGCACACUUGG